CAGUCGCCACGGGAAUACGGAGGGGGCUAGCGUUAUUCAGAAUUACUGGGCGUAAAGCGCACGUAGGCGGCUUCGCAAGUCAGAGGUGGAAGCCUGGAGUUCAACUCCAGAAUUGCCUUUGAGACUGCGUCGCUCGAAUCCGGGAGAGGUGAGUGGAAUUCCGAGUGUAGAGGUGAAAUUCGUAGAUAUUCGGAAGAACACUAGUGGCGAAGGCGGCCCACUGGACCGGCAUUGACGCUGAGGUGCGAAAGCGUGGGGAGCAAACAGGAUUAGAUACCCCCGUAGUCCCUGUCUCUUAUAC
rnacentral:rRNA from 1 species